UGCAGCACAGCAGAAAGCGGUUUUUCCCACCGCAGCACGAGCUGCUCCAUCAACUGUAUCGGCGAGAGUUGUGAAGCGAGUCGGUCACCGAAAACUUUGCACAAAGUGCGCCGUACAUGUCUUCGUGCGGCGUUUAGGUGGAUGCUGAGUGGAUCUGACACGGCUGACAGCAAGCGGGAAUCCUGAAUCACCUGGUAAAUCGGGAGAAUUAGAACGCAGAAAGCACCCAGAGCCACGUAUCUAACUUUAAAUGGCCUAAAGAGUGGUUAGUUAUGUCGCAGAUACGCGUCCAGGUUGAGACAGACCCCGCACCCACAGGGACACACGUGGCCUUGUAAGCUGUGGCGGCGACCGUAUUAUCAAGGAAAUUCCUGAGUCCUCCAGGGUCACCUAUCUGCUGGCUUCUCUAUCUGCUGGUUUGUACAGCUGUACAAGCUUCUGUUUCCACAACACUCAUACACAGAGCACGCUCAGCACUGAUGUGGCGUCUUAGUCACUCAAGAGGUCAGCAGAAGCUGAA